CAAAUACUCCCUCCGUCCGGAAAUACUUGUCAUCAAAAUGGAUAAAAGGAAAUGUAUCUAGACGUAUUUUAGUUUUAGAUACAUCUCUUUUUAUCCAUUUUCAUGACAAGUAUUUUCGGACGGAGGGAGUAGAAA
rnacentral:pre_miRNA from 1 species